rnacentral:rRNA from 1 species
CCUACGGGGGGCAGCAGUGGGGAAUAUUGGACAAUGGGGGCAACCCUGAUCCAGCCAUGCCGCGUGUGUGAAGAAGGCCCUCGGGUUGUAAAGCACUUUCAGUGAGGAAGAACGCCUGGUGGUUAAUACCCAUCAGGAAAGACAUCACUCACAGAAGAAGCACCGGCUAACUCCGUGCCAGCAGCCGCGGUAAUACGGAGGGUGCGAGCGUUAAUCGGAAUUACUGGGCGUAAAGCGCGCGUAGGUGGCUUGAUAAGCCGGUUGUGAAAGCUCCGGGCUCAACCUGGGAACGGCAUCCGGAACUGUCAAGCUAGAGUGCAGGAGAGGAAGGUAGAAUUCCCGGUGUAGCGGUGAAAUGCGUAGAGAUCGGGAGGAAUACCAGUGGCGAAGGCGGCCUUCUGGACUGACACUGACACUGAGGUGCGAAAGCGUGGGUAGCAAACAGGAUUAGAUACCCCAGUAGUC